rnacentral:rRNA from 1 species
UACAGAGGGUGCAAGCGUUGUUCGGAAUUAUUGGGCGUAAAGCGCGUGUAGGCGGCAUGGCAAGUCGGGGUGUGAAAGCCCUCAGCUUAACUGAGGAAGUGCGCCCGAAACUGCCGUGCUUGAGUGCCGGAGAGGGUGGCGGAAUUCCCCCAAGUAGAGGUGAAAUUCGUAGAUAUGGGGAGGAACACCGGUGGGCGAAGGCGGCCACCUGGACGGUAACUGACGCUGAGACGCGAAAGCGUGGGGAGCAAACAGG